rnacentral:sRNA from 1 species
GUGUUUGUUGAACUUAUAGGGACAUAUCAUGAGACGUGUUGAAGAAUGAUGAUCGAUAUUGGCCUUUUUUUAGAGAUUGUGUUGGAGCACUUGAUGGAACUCAUGUUCCGGUUCGCCCUCCAAGUCAAACUGCAAAAAAAUAUAAAGGUAGAAAGCUAGAACCUACAAUGAAUGUUCUUGCUAUAUGUAAUUUCGAUAUGAAAUUCAUAUAUGCAUAUGUCGGUGUACCUGGUAGAGCACAUGAUACAAAGGUUUUGAAUUAUUGUGCGACGAAUGAACCUUAUUUCUCACAUCCGCCUAAUGGGAAGUAUUAUCUUGUUGACUCCGGAUAUCCCACCAGGACUGGGUAUCUUGGUCCACAUCGUAGGAUGCGAUAUCAUCUUGGUCAGUUUGGUAGAGGAGGACCACCAGUAACUGCACGAGAGUUGUUCAACCGAAAGCAUUCAGGUUUGCGAUCUGUGAUUGAGAGGACAUUUGGAGUAUGGAAAGCAAAAUGGAGGAUUGUAGAUCGUAAGCAUCCAAAAUAUGGUCUGGCUAAGUGGAUUAAGAUUGUAACAGCGACAAUGGCACUACACAAUUUUAUAAGGGAUUCACAUCGGGAAGAUCAUGAUUUUUUACAAUGGCAAAGCAUAGAAGAAUAUCAUGUUGAUGAUGAAGAAGAAGAAGAAGAAGAAGAAGGAGAAGAAGAAGAAGAAGGAGAAGAAGAAGAAGGAGAAGGAGAAGAAGAAGAAGAACAUGUUGCAUAUGAGCCUACCGGUGACAGAGCGAUGGAAGCUUUACGUGACAACAUCACGAACGAAUGUAAUAAAAGUCGCUUACCUUAUUAGAUAUGUUUUUUUUAUUGACUUGGUUUAUUGUUAUAAUUAUGCUUACGACUUUGUCUAUCUUUUUUGCUUAUAACGUGGUGUACUACUUUAUUGUUAUAAUUAUGCUUAUGAUUUCUCACAAAAUUUAAAACUAACGCAGCGGCGGCGAAACGAACAUAGAGACUUGCGGCAGCGGCAACAGCAGCGACAUCCAAACGAACAUAAAUAAAGCGUCAGCGGCAGCGGUAGCGGCAGCGGCAGCGACAACGAAACGAACAACAAGCUGCGGUAGAGUUUCCCGCCGCCGCUGCCGCUGCCGCCUGCGGUGAACAAACGAACAGACUAAACAUAAAAGGAUCAUUAGCGAUUAUGGGUGC